rnacentral:rRNA from 1 species
GUGAGGAAUAUUGCGCAAUGGAGGCAACUCUGACGCAGCCAUGCCGCGUGCAGGAAGAAGGCGCUACGCGUUGUAAACUGCUUUUAACCGGGAAGAAACCCCAGGACGUGUCCUGGGUUGACGGUACCGGAGGAAUAAGCACCGGCUAACUUCGUGCCAGCAGCCGCGGUAAUACGAAGGGUGCAAGCGUUAGCCGGAUUCAUUGGGUUUAAAGGGUGCGUAGGCGGAGCGUUAAGUCAGUGGUGAAAUCCUGCAGCUUAACUGUAGACUUGCCAUUGAUACUGGCGCUCUUGAGUGCGCUUGAAGUGGGCGGAAUGUGCCGUGUAGCGGUGAAAUGCUUAGAUAUGGCACAGAACACCAAUUGCGAAGGCAGCUCACUAAGGCGAUACUGACGCUGAGGCACGAAAGCGUGGGGAUCGAACAGGAUUAGAAACCCCAGUAGUCC